CCUUGAUAACUUUGGUAUCACGUAUUAGAGAAGGAUAGCAAUGGUCAGGUGUGUGGGGGUGUACUCCCCCAAAAAGUUUUGAAAUUUGAAGCACGGAAAUGCCAUUUCCUGCAUUCUGAGCAUCCAAAUUUGCUCUAAAAUUUAUGCUAACUAUACUUGUAUUUGAAAUAAAAGAUGGAAAAAAUGCACAAAAAGUAAAAAAGAAUAUUAAUAACUGCAAUUUAUCAUUACUUAUUAGAGGAAUAAUCCCCAGAAAAUUUUUGAAAUUUGAAACCCGGAAAUGCUAUUUCCUGCAUUCUGGGCAUCCAAAAAAUAAAAAAAUUAUUAACAAUAAUUUAUCAUUACUUAGUGGUAGAAAAAAGUAACAAUUUAAAUAGCGGGACUAAAUCGUCGGACUGGAUACGCUACUGUUGGAGCCCGCAUUUCAGCCACGAUAGAUUAAAACCAUACAGCCAACUCUCAC